GGCUGAGACACUGCUGGAAGCCGUGGAGAGAAUCGCCAAGUCUGUGGAGGUAUCGCGAAGGCUUGUUUCUGUGAAGGCUAUCAUGUUUUCUUCAAAACCAUGACAUCACUGCAAAGCCACGACACCACUGGAAAGGCCUCAAUUAUUUCUUAUUCUGAGAAUUUUCUCCCUUGGACAGAAAGAAUCCAAGUAAAUACAAGAAAUUAAAUUUAGCCUGCUUCUACACACCUGCAGCAUCCCACAGGCUCCAGACCAAUGAGCUGCCAGUGAGGCUGAGUGAAGAGGGCGGCUGGGUGAGACACCUCUGGAGGGACUGAUGGUCCUUUUGACGGUUCACCACCACUGAGGAGGACACAGUGGGAGGAAUGCAGGAUAGACGCCAGGUUCCCUCACCCUCUGUGAAGUGUCUGUGCGUCAGUGGCGUCACCUGGAAACCGGGGACAACAAUGUUACCUACCUCCCGGGGUGGUUAGGCUCCUUUGAGGCUGACCCCUAAAACAGGACCGGACACCAUCAGCACAGAGUGUGUGCCUGGUGCGGUAAUUACCACUGCUAGGUCUUCCCUGAGAGUACUUUUCCCUGGCCUGCCUAACUUCCACCAUAUAUUUCCAGCUCAUGCCUGCUUGCACUUUUUAAUAUUUCAUGUGUGGUUGCGUGGCCUUCUUGCCUUUUGUUGCCUUUUAACCCGUCAUGCUCGUAAGUUCUUUGAAGGAGUGCUCCAAAGACAUCCACCACCUUCUAAUACCACAGACCUUGAGGCCUGGACUGUAUUGGUUGAAGUGAACAGGUCAAGAAUGAGAAAAGACAAGAGUACGUGUAAAAAUAUAAAAAGUAUUCAAACAUAUAUGCACGUAGGUUCCAAAGACAGAUGACUGAAGUAAACAAAUUCACUGAAACUGUUCUAGAUAAAGAGAAAAACACUAAUGACUUCUUAUUGUUUCCAUCCAGUUUUGAACCAGGGACUUUCCACAUGUUAAGUGAACGGGAUAACCACUACACCACAGAAACAGAUAAUUGUGUGAUUGUUUCAUGAGUCUAAUAAGACUUAUAGUCAUGGACCCUGCCAGGGUCUCUACCCAACCAGGGAGGCAGAGCUCUUAGAACCAUUCCUCGUGGCCCCGGGUAAUAUUGUCUAACUGCCCAGCUCCACCAAUUAGUAGAUCCGGAAGCCGGUCACAUUCAGCAACUCAAAACAAAACAGGGAAUGAAAGAAAGCAGGCAUUGCAGCAAGGAAGGUAAAUGCGGCUUUGGAGGUUUGAGACUAGAUAAUUCUCUCUAUUUUGUCUCUUUCCUCUAGCAAAACAGCUCGAGGGUUUAAGUUUUCACCCAUUUUGAGCUGGAUUGACACUAACAACCUAAAGGAUUAAGGAAAUGGUAAACAUAUUCAAAGAAUAUGAGCUUUGAAUAUAUUUCAUCAAAAUGUAGAUAUAAAUUAGCCAAAAAUAAAAUUAGUUUUACAUAUGCUUCAGAAAUGAUUGUUUCUUCUAAAUUAGGUGGAAUUAUCUAUUAAAAAUAAAAAGGAUAUUGAAAUACCAAAUUCUAAGUCAAUGUUAUUUAAAUAAAGCUGAAAAUUUAAAAUUUGGAAAUGUAAUUAAAUCUUUCCAGUAUUUUCUAAAAAUAAAACUAAUCAAUUCUAGCAUUGAAUGUCCAUAUUUGGGAUGAGGCUUAACACAUGGUAUAUGUAGAUCUCUAUAUCUGCAAAUGUAAGAUUAUUAUUGAUGGUUUAAUAUUGCAAAAUGGGUUUUUUUGGUCACCUAUGCUGAUUCUGUGGAGACAGGAAUUGGAAUAGAGGUGGAGUUCUGCUGAGUCGGGAUCCUUGAGCGUUUUCAAUUUGUAAGCCCCUAUCCACCAAACCACUGGGCAGGAGGUCCUCUUUUAUGAGUCUAGUUCUCUCAUCAAGAUCACCAGGGGCCUGCAGGUGGCCCAAUCCAUAGAGGCCUUAUCACAUUCCUUUACUAGACCAUGUAUGGAAUUUGACUCUAUAGAUCUGUUCCUCUUUUUUUUUGUACAUCUUGACUCCCUUGGCCUCAGUGGAAGCUUCAUUGCUAGCUUUACUCCUAUUCUGACUCCUCCAUCUGUCUACUCAGGACUAUCUCCCUGGAGAAUCACACUGCGAUUGACAGCUUGACCCAACCUCUACCCCACCCAUCUGUGGCUCCAGCAAAGACAGCUCUCCCCAAGCUUCAGAUACAUGUGUCUUGGACGUUUCGACAUGUCCAACCUGUUCAAGACUGAACUCCUUACUUCUCUCUCACCCCCCCCCCCACUCCUUAGUGUUAGAAGGUGGAGAGCCAGUAAUGUAUCCUCUAGAGUGAGAAGGCACAUUAAGAGAGGAAAAAUAAAGCAAGCCACUCCAUAUCGCUUAUGGUGAGUUUCAUUCAGGAUAACUUACUGAGGGACUAUGGGUGGGGACAGACCAUCCAGGCGGUGCUGGGCCAUUCUCCACAGCUAUUCUUUGUGCAGUCCAGACCUUAAUCCCUAGAUUUUAUGGAAUGAGGAAUACGGUGGUGAGGUCAGAGGGUAGUUAUCUAAAGUGGCGCCAUCUGUACAUCAAAGGAUCUCUACUAGUUACCUAGAGUGGUGCCUCCUGUGUGCCACUUUAGGGAAGAUCAGAACAAGCCUUCCCAAAUUCUGUGUCAUAACAUUAAUUAACCUCCACGGGCCUGGAACAUGUAGUGGGAGGGAGGUCAUUGCCCUGGCUUGAAGAGGAUGGAGGGCCAAAAGUGGAGUCAGUGUUGGCCGUACUCCUGCCCUCAGACUUUGAUUUCUGUUACUAAACCAUCUAAAGCAGAACCCAAGGAGCCCCCUCUCCUGCCCAGGUAUAAACCAUGCACCUAGUUCCUUCACCCACUUCUCCCAUCUGACUACUGCCUCCCACUGCUGUGCUGUUUCCUGUCUAGAACAGGACUGUGUAUCUCCAGUUCCUCUCUCUGACUCAGUCUCACUCCCAUCACACCUUCUGGUCACCGUUCCUGAAGGAUUUACCUUCUGAAAGGUAAAUCAGAGAGAGUCUUUCUGCCUCCAUAUGGCCACUUUCGCCAAGGAGGAUAAAGACCCAAACUCCUCCUUUCCUUGUGUUUACUGAAUGUCUGAACUGAUCAGCGCUUGCCUCUUUUGUGCUAAGAGCAGCGAUCACUUACCAUGUGGAGGCCAAGAAAAACAAGGCUGUACCCACCUCGAGUCUAGCCCUGACAUAAGCACAGCCAUCUUGACAAAGCAAAAGCUGGCACCUUGUGCCUCCUCUCCACCCACUCCCCUCCCCUCUGUAGUAUGUGUGACAUUCCUCAGGCACCCCUGGCUGCCCUAAAAGAAAAACAAAUAGUUAACUUGCAGAGAUCACAAUCCUGCAAGACAGGAGUCUCCCUUGGUUUACAAAUGUCCUAGAGAUUUACAACAAAGAAGCUAUCUUAACAAUAAUGUUGCCCUCCCCACCAUAAAACUAAAGGAGACUGAUGCAGAAGGAAAUGUAAAUAAAGUUAAAUUUCUUCUAAACCUAAAUCUCACUAACAAGGACACUUGAUAGGAGAAAUGUGAAACUUUAUCUCUAAACCUCCAAAAUAGUGUCAGCAAUCAUUCCCAAACAUAUGACCCAGUGAUAUACAUCUAAAGGGUCUCAUGAGGAGAUUUUUUAUUACUGAUAAUGAAUAACCUUUUCCCCAGACAAAAGCUGGCCCCUCAAGGUCCUGGAGACCUCGCUUCCAAAAUUCCUUAGAGACUUACAUCAUCAUAACCCCCUUUUUCCUCACCCACUGCCGAGUCCACCCCUACUCUGCUUUUUAAAAACUCUGACUGUAAUCUGGCUCAGGAUCCAAGUCCCUACUCUGCUGUGUCAGGUAUACUUGGGCCCAAGCUUAAACUUGUCAAAUAAACC